UUUCCUGAAGAGUGAUGCAGGAGAGCCCAACACGCGCCUCCGGGUGCGCUCCAGUCCUAGUGGAAGACUGUGGGGAGGGCCUGGCUGGUCCUCGCCUGAACGGGGGUCCCCCUGUCGUUCAAACGGGACACUAUUGAAAACCUGGAUCGAGGAUUCCUCGGCCUGGACGCGUACAAAGCCGCCCGAGCUCACCGUUGUCGCCAUUUCCAUCUUGCCAUUCCAGGUCUUCCCCCGAGCUCGGCCCGGGGCGCAAACCGAAAGUGGGAAACGGCCGGGUUACAACCAGCACGGUGAGCCCCCUUCCCCGAGGCGAGGAGGAGCCUGAAAACCUGCAUUUUAACUGGAAAUAAACAGUCCAGACAUUAGCACAUUAAAUGGAAGAGCUGCCCAAGUCUCCAUUUUAGAAGUUUGUCCUUCCCCUGCCUCAAGUCCAGAGGCAGUUUUGUGGCAUCAGAGUUUUUGCUCCUGGACACUGUUCGUGGGAUCAGAGAGUUUUAUUUUGGGGUGAAAUCUCAGAAGAUCACCUGUUACAGCCCUUUAGGGAGAAUGUGUUGAUGCCUCCUGCCGUCAAGAACCUCAAGCUGCUCUGAUGAUAGCUUAAAAGAAGACCGCAU